CCCUAGCCCUGAUUACAGUGGAAAUCCUUUUUGUUUUAUUGGCAUUUUUCUGUCAAAAACAGAACAUUCCAAACAAAAAGAUUGAAACGGAAAGCAGGAAAAAGC
rnacentral:sRNA from 1 species